AUGAACGCUGGCGGCGUGCCUAAUACCUGCAAGUCGAGCGAACAGACGAGGAGCUUGCUCCUCUGACGUUAGCGGCGGACGGGUGAGUAACACGUGGAUAACCUACCUAUAAGACUGGGAUAACUUCGGGAAACCGGAGCUAAUACCGGAUAAUAUAUUGAACCGCAUGGUUCAAUAGUGAAAGACGGUUUUGCUGUCACUUAUAGAUGGAUCCGCGCCGCAUUAGCUAGUUGGUAAGGUAACGGCUUACCAAGGCAACGAUGCGUAGCCGACCUGAGAGGGGGAUCGGCCACACGGGAACUGAGACACGGUCCAGACUCCUACGGGAGGCAGCAGUAGGGAAUCUUCCGCAAUGGGCGAAAGCCUGACGGAGCAACGCCGCGUGAGUGAUGAAGGUCUUCGGAUCGUAAAACUCUGUUAUUAGGGAAGAACAAAUGUGUAAGUAACUAUGCACGUCUUGACGGUACCUAAUCAGAAAGCCACGGCUAACUACGUG
rnacentral:rRNA from 1 species